rnacentral:rRNA from 1 species
GUCGCCUGCCUCUGGACAGAAUGGUUCCACACAACAUCGAGGGGCACCGCACGCGAUGCUCCAAAGAGGGUAAUACCUUCUCCACACACCUUCGUCGAUGCAAGUAUCACCUUGGCCUCGCUCUCCAUAUUAUUGAAGUCCACCAUCAAGGCCUUGCGGGUUUUAACGGAGUCAUUUCCACUCAUAUACAAGAGCUCGUUGCGUUUAGUCCUGUUGAACACUUUCCUCGGCUGUUCCAUGAUCAAGUCCAAUGGUUCAAGAAACUGGCUAAACACAAGCACUCGCUCUUUUAAAGCCUCACUACUGGAAUUUUUGUCUUUGCCGAGUGUUAGGCUCUUUGUCGAGUGCAAAAUGUUACGCAGUUGGCAAUAG